rnacentral:rRNA from 1 species
UACUAGAGUAGCACUCGCAUAUCAAUAAGCGGAGGAAAAGAAACUAACAAGGAUUCCCCUAGUAACGGCGAGUGAAGCGGGAAGAGCUCAAAUUUGAAAUCUUAAAGGGUUUCCCUUUACGAAUUGUAGUUUAAAGAAGUGUUUUCUGUUGAGGUUUUGGUAAAAGUUCUUUGGAAUAGGACAUCAUAGAGGGUGAGAAUCCCGUAUUUGACCUUUACUUUCAGCUUUGUGAUACACUUUCAAAGAGUCGGAUUGUUUGGGAAUGCAGUCCAAAUGGGUGGUAAAUUUCAUCUAAAGCUAAAUAUUGGCGAGAGACCGAUAGCGAACAAGUACCGUGAGGGAAAGAUGAAAAGAACUUUGAAAAGAGAGUUAAACAGUACGUGAAAUUGUCAAAAGGGAAGCGUUUGACACCAGUGUUGUUUUUCUGAAAAUCAAUUAAAGAACUGUUUAUGCUAAGUUGUUUAGACUUUAUCAGCUAACUGUUUAGUUUUGAGCUUUUCUUUAAUGCACUUUUCAGUUAACAAGUCAACAUCAAUUUCUUUUGCUGUAAAAAAGCUUGAGGAAGGUGGCUUGAGAUUCGUCUUAAGUGUUUAUAGCCUCUUGCCUAUGCAGUCGGAGAGAUUGAGGUCUGCAGCGUAGAUCCUUCGGGGCUAAAUGCAUUUGUGCUAAGUUAUAGCAUUUUAUAGACAACUUGUUGACUAUGAUUUGUCUUGUAGCUUACUCGCUUAUGUUAUUUUACCUACGCUUAGGAUGUUGAGCGCAUGUCUCUCUCU